rnacentral:rRNA from 1 species
AACGUAGGAGGCGAGCGUUAUCCGGAUUUACUGGGCGUAAAGCGCACGCAGGCGGUUCCGUUAGUCGGACGUGAAAGCUCCUGGCUUAACUGGGAGAGGCCGUUCGAUACUGCGGGACUUGAGGUUGGGAGAGGGGUGUGGAAUUCCCGGUGUAGUGGUGGAAUGCGUAGAUAUCGGGAGGAACACCUGUGGCGAAAGCGGCACCCUGGCCCACACCUGACGCUGAGGUGCGAAAGCGUGGGUAG